rnacentral:lncRNA from 1 species
AAGAUUUGGAUAUGUCAGAGGCCUUCGGCAUCACUGUUAAUAGGAACCACCAUUUGCAUUUGGUUCCCACGGUUAAGCGGCCUUUGUCCGCAGCUGCUUGAUGACUCAUAAAUUUUCUCAAUUUCAUCACUCAUAAAAUAAAAAACCCUUUUCAUAUUUACGUGCUAUACAUUUCAUGUUGUUAGGCCUCAGUUUUGGCAUGCAAUAAAACCGUUGUGAGAGAUAUUACGUUUGGUUGAUUACUAUUUUUUUGAUUUGACCUCAUUGUUCAUAGACAAGAAUUGAAUUAUAAAAAUUGAAGAGAAAAAAAACUAAAGAUUAUAAAAAUUGAAUUUGUAAACCAUAAUUAACUAUUGAUUGCGGACUUCGCACCCAAGCUUUUGUCCCUAACUCAGCAAGAAUCUUCCAGCUGGAUCAGAAUUUUAUUAUAAAAUAGCAAGUGGUUAUAUAUGCAGCUUAAUUAUAUAGUUUUU